AUUGAACGCUGGCGGCAUGCCUUACACAUGCAAGUCGAACGGCAGCACGGGUGCUUGCACCUGGUGGCGAGUGGCGAACGGGUGAGUAAUACAUCGGAACAUGUCCUGUAGUGGGGGAUAGCCCGGCGAAAGCCGGAUUAAUACCGCAUACGAUCUACGGAUGAAAGCGGGGGACCUUCGGGCUCGCGCUAUAGGGUUGGCCGAUGGCUGAUUAGCUAGUUGGUGGGGUAAAGGCCUACCAAGGCGACGAUCAGUAGCUGGUCUGAGAGGACGACCAGCCACACUGGGACUGAGACACGGCCCAGACUCCUACGGGAGGCAGCAGUGGGGAAUUUUGGACAAUGGGCGAAAGCCUGAUCCAGCAAUGCCGCGUGUGUGAAGAAGGCCUUCGGGUUGUAAAGCACUUUUGUCCGGAAAGAAAUCCUUGGCCCUAAUACGGUCGGGGGAUGACGGUACCGGAAGAAUAAGCACCGGCUAACUACGUG
rnacentral:rRNA from 1 species